AUGAAGUACAGAACCCACAAAUCUUUAGAAUAUGGUCGAGAGGGAGAUUGUAUGGUCGAGAAGGAGAUUUAUGAAGUACAGAACCCAAUCAUCGUUAGAAUACUGUAUAUACUAGACGGUGUCAGAGAAAGGCCCAAAAAUAUUUUCUGUAUUGUACUGCACUGUCCUCUACUGUGCUCUGCUGUGCUAUAUUGUACUGCAUUGUCCUCUACCAUACUCUGCUGUGCUGUAUUGUACUGCAUUGUCCUCUACCAUACUCUGCUGUGCUGUAUUGUACUGCACUGUCCUUCACUAUACUCUGCUGUGCUGUAUUGUACUGCACGGUCCUCUGUGCUCUGCUGUGCUGUAUUGUACUGCACUGUCCUCUACCGUACUCUGCUGUGCUGUAUUGUACUACACUGUCCCCUACUGUGCUCUGCUGUGCUGUAUUGUACUGCACGGUCCUCUGUGCUCUGCNNNNNNNNNNCGCUGGGCAGACGGGAAGCUCAGCUGGCGCUGGGCAGACGGGAAGCUCAGCUGGCGCUGGGCAGACGGGAAGCUCAGCUGGCGCUGGGCAGACGGGAAGCUCAGCUGGCGCUGGGCAGACGGGAAGCUCAGCUGGCGCUGGGCAGACGGGAAGCUCAGCUGGCGCUGGGCAGACGGGAAGCUCAGCUGGCGCUGGGCAGACGGGAAGCUCAGCUGGCGCUGGGCAGACGGGAAGCUCAGCUGGCGCUGGGCAGACGGGAAGCUCAGCUGGCGCUGGGCAGACGGGAAGCUCCGGCAACGCUGGAGAAAAGGAAGGCCCUGGUAGCGCCGGAGAGGCGGGAGACUCCGGCAGCGGCGCCGGACAGGCGGGAGGCUCCGGCAGAGGCGCCGGACAGGCGGGAGGCUCCGGCAGAGGCGCCGGACAGGCGGGAGGCUCCGGCAGAGGCGCCGGACAGGCGGGAGGCUCCGGCAGAGGCGCCGGACAGGCGGGAGGCUCCGGCAGCGGCGCCGGACAGGCGGGAGGCUCCGGCAGAGGCGCCGGACAGGCGGGAGGCUCCGGCAGCGGCGCCGGGCAGGCGGGAGGCUCCGGCAGAGGCGCCGGACAGGCGGGAGGCUCCGGCAGAGGCGCCGGACAGGCAGGAGGCUCCGGCAGCGCUGGAGAGGAGGAAGGCUCUGGUAGCGCCGGAGAGGCGGGAGACUCCGGCAGCGCUGGAGAGGAGGAAGGCUCUGGACGGAUGGGCCGGAGAGACAGCCUGGUACGGGGAGCUGCCACCGGAGGGCUGGGGUGUGGAGGUGGUGACGGAUAGACCGGGCCGUGCAGGCGCACUGGAGCUCUUGAGCACCGAGCCUGUCCAACCUUACCCGGUUGAAUGGUCCCGGUCGCCCUGCCAGUGCGGCGAGGUGGAAUAG
rnacentral:lncRNA from 13 species